rnacentral:rRNA from 1 species
UACGUAGGGUGCAAGCGUUGUCCGGAUUUAUUGGGCGUAAAGAGCUCGUAGGCGGUCUGUCGCGUCUGCCGUGAAAGUCCGGGGCUCAACUCCGGAUCUGCGGUGGGUACGGGCAGACUAGAGUGAUGUAGGGGAGACUGGAAUUCCUGGUGUAGCGGUGAAAUGCGCAGAUAUCAGGAGGAACACCGAUGGCGAAGGCAGGUCUCUGGGCAUUAACUGACGCUGAGGAGCGAAAGCAUGGGGAGCGAACAGG